AGCCCAGAGCCUGAAUCAGUGUGUGUGUUAGUGGAAGCGUCUGGAAAGGCGCGCGAUACAGGGUGACAGCCCCGUACACAAAAAUGCACAUGCUGUGAGCUCGAUGAGUAGGGCGGGACACGUGGUAUCCUGUCUGAAUAUGGGGGGACCAUCCUCCAAGGCUAAAUACUCCUGACUGACCGAUAGUGAACCAGUACCGUGAGGGAAAGGCGAAAAGAACCCCGGCGAGGGGAGUGAAAAAGAACCUGAAACCGUGUACGUACAAGCAGUGGGAGCACGCUUAGGCGUGUGACUGCGUACCUUUUGUAUAAUGGGUCAGCGACUUAUAUUCUGUAGCAAGGUUAACCGAAUAGGGGAGCCGAAGGGAAACCGAGUCUUAACUGGGCGUUAAGUUGCAGGGUAUAGACCCGAAACCCGGUGAUCUAGCCAUGGGCAGGUUGAAGGUUGGGUAACACUAACUGGAGGACCGAACCGACUAAUGUUGAAAAAUUAGCGGAUGACUUGUGGCUGGGGGUGAAAGGCCAAUCAAACCGGGAGAUAGCUGGUUCUCCCCGAAAGCUAUUUAGGUAGCGCCUCGUGAAUUCAUCUCCGGGGGUAGAGCACUGUUUCGGCAAGGGGGUCAUCCCGACUUACCAACCCGAUGCAAACUGCGAAUACCGGAGAAUGUUAUCACGGGAGACACACGGCGGGUGCUAACGUCCGUCGUGAAGAGGGAAACAACCCAGACCGCCAGCUAAGGUCCCAAAGUCAUGGUUAAGUGGGAAACGAUGUGGGAAGGCCCAGACAGCCAGGAUGUUGGCUUAGAAGCAGCCAUCAUUUAAAGAAAGCGUAAUAGCUCACUGGUCGAGUCGGCCUGCGCGGAAGAUGUAACGGGGCUAAACCAUGCACCGAAGCUGCGGCAGCGACGCUUAUGCGUUGUUGGGUAGGGGAGCGUUCUGUAAGCCUGUGAAGGUGUACUGUGAGGUAUGCUGGAGGUAUCAGAAGUGCGAAUGCUGACAUAAGUAACGAUAAAGCGGGUGAAAAGCCCGCUCGCCGGAAGACCAAGGGUUCCUGUCCAACGUUAAUCGGGGCAGGGUGAGUCGACCCCUAAGGCGAGGCCGAAAGGCGUAGUCGAUGGGAAACAGGUUAAUAUUCCUGUACUUGGUGUUACUGCGAAGGGGGGACGGAGAAGGCUAUGUUGGCCGGGCGACGGUUGUCCCGGUUUAAGCGUGUAGGCUGGUUUUCCAGGCAAAUCCGGAAAAUCAAGGCUGAGGCGUGAUGACGAGGCACUACGGUGCUGAAGCAACAAAUGCCCUGCUUCCAGGAAAAGCCUCUAAGCAUCAGGUAACAUCAAAUCGUACCCCAAACCGACACAGGUGGUCAGGUAGAGAAUACCAAGGCGCUUGAGAGAACUCGGGUGAAGGAACUAGGCAAAAUGGUGCCGUAACUUCGGGAGAAGGCACGCUGAUAUGUAGGUGAAGUCCCUCGCGGAUGGAGCUGAAAUCAGUCGAAGAUACCAGCUGGCUGCAACUGUUUAUUAAAAACACAGCACUGUGCAAACACGAAAGUGGACGUAUACGGUGUGACGCCUGCCCGGUGCCGGAAGGUUAAUUGAUGGGGUUAGCGCUAACGCGAAGCUCUUGAUCGAAGCCCCGGUAAACGGCGGCCGUAACUAUAACGGUCCUAAGGUAGCGAAAUUCCUUGUCGGGUAAGUUCCGACCUGCACGAAUGGCGUAAUGAUGGCCAGGCUGUCUCCACCCGAGACUCAGUGAAAUUGAACUCGCUGUGAAGAUGCAGUGUACCCGCGGCAAGACGGAAAGACCCCGUGAACCUUUACUAUAGCUUGACACUGAACAUUGAGCCUUGAUGUGUAGGAUAGGUGGGAGGCUUUGAAGUGUGGACGCCAGUCUGCAUGGAGCCGACCUUGAAAUACCACCCUUUAAUGUUUGAUGUUCUAACGUUGACCCGUAAUCCGGGUUGCGGACAGUGUCUGGUGGGUAGUUUGACUGGGGCGGUCUCCUCCUAAAGAGUAACGGAGGAGCACGAAGGUUGGCUAAUCCUGGUCGGACAUCAGGAGGUUAGUGCAAUGGCAUAAGCCAGCUUGACUGCGAGCGUGACGGCGCGAGCAGGUGCGAAAGCAGGUCAUAGUGAUCCGGUGGUUCUGAAUGGAAGGGCCAUCGCUCAACGGAUAAAAGGUACUCCGGGGAUAACAGGCUGAUACCGCCCAAGAGUUCAUAUCGACGGCGGUGUUUGGCACCUCGAUGUCGGCUCAUCACAUCCUGGGGCUGAAGUAGGUCCCAAGGGUAUGGCUGUUCGCCAUUUAAAGUGGUACGCGAGCUGGGUUUAGAACGUCGUGAGACAGUUCGGUCCCUAUCUGCCGUGGGCGCUGGAGAACUGAGGGGGGCUGCUCCUAGUACGAGAGGACCGGAGUGGACGCAUCACUGGUGUUCGGGUUGUCAUGCCAAUGGCACUGCCCGGUAGCUAAAUGCGGAAGAGAUAAGUGCUGAAAGCAUCUAAGCACGAAACUUGCCCCGAGAUGAGUUCUCCCUGACUCCUUGAGAGUCCUGAAGGAACGUUGAAGACGACGACGUUGAUAGGCCGGGUGUGUAAGCGCAGCGAUGCGUUGAGCUAACCGGUACUAAUGAACCGUGAGGCUUAACCUUACAACGCCGAAG
rnacentral:rRNA from 1 species